UACGAAGGGUGCAAGCGUUAAUCGGAAUUACUGGGCGUAAAGCGCGCGUAGGUGGUUUGCUAAGUUGGAUGUGAAAGCUCCGGGCUCAACCCGGGAACUGCAUCUAAAACUGGCAAGCUAGAGUAUAGCAGAGGGUGGUAGAAUUUCCUGUGUAGCGGUGAAAUGCGUAGAUAUAGGAAGGAACACCAGUGGCGAAGGCGACCACCUGGGCUAAUACUGACACUGAGGUGCGAAAGCGUGGGGAGCAAACAGG
rnacentral:misc_RNA from 1 species